CCUACGGGAGGCAGCAGUAGGGAAUCUUCCACAAUGGGCGCAAGCCUGAUGCAGCGACGCCGCGUGAGCGAGGAAGUAUUUCGGUAUGUAAAGCCCUAUCAGCAGGGACGAAGAAAUGACGUUACCUGCGUAAGAAGCACCGGCUAAAUACGUGCCAGCAGCCGCGGUAAUACGUAUGGUGCAAGCGUUAUCCGGAUUUACUGGGGGUAAAGGGAGCGCAGGCGGCAAGGCAAGCCUGAUGUGAAAGCCAGGGGCACAACCGCGGGACUGCAUUGGGAACUACCGGGCUGGAGUGCAGGAGAGGUAAGCGGAAUUCCUAGUGUAGCGGUGAAAUGCGUAGAUAUUAGGAGGAACACCAGUGGCGAAGGCGGCUUACUGGACGGUGACUGACGCUGAGGCUCGAAAGCGUGGGGAGCAAACAGGAUUAGAUACCCGAGUAGUC
rnacentral:rRNA from 1 species